CCAAGAGUGUAUUCAGAAUUCGACGAGGGAAAUGUAAACUUGGCGCAAACAGAGGAAAGUGCAUGACGUAUUAGGUAGUCUCACUUGAAAUUAGUUUAUAUUAAAAAUAUACUUUCAAUUUCUAUUCUUAUUCCUAACUUUCCUGCAUGACAAAUCUGGAGAAAAAGCAUUUUUUGUUUAUAUCGAACCCCCGUCUUAAAGUUCUAUGUGACUUGCUGCAGUGCAACAACGAAUUUCGACUUUUUAUUUAUUUUAUUUUAUUAUAUAAUUUAUAGUCUUGGAAUGAUGGCUAUUAAUCAUGGCUAUGUGCUAGAUAUUCCAGUUAACAUUAGACACAGCUACUAAACUAAAGCACCAAAGCUAGCUAGCUACCUAGCUAUAUAUAUAUUAGCCGAAGUAGUGGACCAGAAGAUGAUGUGUGUGAUGUUGUGUUUAAUUAUUCCAUACCACGGUGUGGUUAAUAGAUAAAGGUGCUAAAAGGUGCAGUUGUUCCAUUUUCAUCUGGUCUGCAUAUUUAUACUCUGUCAAAUAUUUUGCAAGCUUUAAAAGUGUUUGUCAAAGUUUUAUAGUUACCAACUUAGUGUUUUACAGUGGUUCCUGUGGACUUUCUUUUUACAUUUCCUUAAAUUUGAAAUAUCUUUUCAGCUAUUACGUUAUUUUCUCUGGCUGGUCUGCAAAUAUAAAUUUCGUACAUUUCUAUGAAGUCUCUCAAUGUUAAGAUUACAGUUUAUAAACAUUUUUACCGGUUAUUGUAUAAUUGUUUUGCUUUUAUACAUUGAUUUUAUGUUAUUUUUGAGCUACAGCAUCAUUUUUACUAUCUGGUCUGCAAAUUACACUCUUGUCAAAUAUUUUGUACUCUUCAAGAGUGUUUGUAAAAUUUUUGAAUAGUUACUAAUUUGUGGUGUUUUAUUAUGUUCCUGUGAAUUUUUUUCGCAUUUUCAUCAAUUUGGAAAGAUUUUUUCAACUAUGA